CUGCUCACUUUGGCAGCACAUAUACUAAAACUGGAACAAUACAGAAAAGAUUAGCAU
rnacentral:snRNA from 1 species